rnacentral:rRNA from 1 species
CAGCCGCCGCGGUAAUACGUAGGUGGCAAGCGUUGUCCGGAAUUAUUGGGCGUAAAGGGCUCGCAGGCGGUUUCUUAAGUCUGAUGUGAAAGCCCCCGGCUCAACCGGGGAGGGUCAUUGGAAACUGGGAAACUUGAGUGCAGAAGGGGAGAGUGGAAUUCCACGUGUAGCGGUGAAAUGCGUAGAGAUGUGGAGGAACACCAGUAGCGAAGGCGACUCCCUGGUCUGUAACUGACGCUGAGGAGCGAAAGCGUGGGGAGCAAACAGGAUUAGAGACCCCCGUAGUCCCUGUCUCUUAUAC